CACGCAGUUCAUGCCUUCGUUAGCCUUCAGUCGACGCGCUACCGGCGGCGACGGAAACGGCGCAGGAUCAAAACCGCCGCCUCCGCCUGUGUGUCGGCAUCGGGGGAUUAGCUCAAAUGGUAGAGCGCUCGCUUAGCAUGCGAGAGGUAGCGGGAUCGAUGCCCGCAUCCUCCACACGCUUCGUUUAUGCUCUCGGAAAAGCGCUCCGAGUGCCGCGGUGACGCUUUCAGAUGCGGAGCAGGCUUCACGCUGCUGGAGAACACAGCUGAUUGAUCCCCAGGGGGUCGGAGUAGUUUUCUCUGUGUGGAUCUGAUACAUUAUGUGUAACACGGUACAACGACGUUUUAGAGCCACUGCUCAUAAAGUAAAAAAUAAAGUGUUGUCCUGAGUCCUUCUGCUGCUGGUGUGGAGACCCAGGCAGAUCUUCAGUUUGUGAAGGAAGAAGACCUGCUGGAACACCUCAAACCAAUCCAGUGCCACAAGCUUUUAAAUGCUUGAAAAUGUGAAGAAUUAUGGAGGGCUUUGAGGUGAAAGGAAAGAGGAUUCUACAAUUCUUUGAAGAAAAACCAACAAACGACGAGGUUCGUGCCAUUUUGUUGAAGUCUGGACAAGAAAGUUCUCUGGUUCCAAGCAUUUUGCUGCUCCUGAUGGCCCACUUUAAGGAGAAAUCUGAAUCUCUUCUUCUCGAAGCUGAUGUGGCAGCAACUGCAGCAGAUGUCCAAAGAACAGUUACAUUACAAGAUUCACCCAGGCUGAUUACCCAAGAAGGUGGACCGGAGAGGAGGAGUAAGAAGCUUCCGCCUGGUGAAUAGAGGAACGAUAUAAACAGCCCCGACAUUUUCAGGCAGUUCUGACUGCAGCAGUGACUUCAUCAGCUCGUCACCGCGAGUCUCACUGCGUGCAACCAGGUGAAUGUUCAUCGCUGUGACCUGUAGCUUCUCAGACACGUCUCUGCUGCGUCCCCUCGUCACCAGCCCUGGCGCUUUACUCCGCGGAGUUAACGGCAACGCUACUCCACACAGGCCGGGGCUCGUGUUCAGCCCGCUGACCCGGAUGUUGGUUGCUAGGCUACCGUCAUAUUUACUCAGCGGUAAAGCUGGUGAGAGCUGAAAUCUGUAAAACAGCGUCAUUUCGGUGUUUUAGAACCGAAUAAACUGUUCAUUUCACAGCGAAGACGUCUGUUCACACCCUUUAUCUUCCACUUUUACUUCUCUCUGCCAGAGCAGAAGGAAAAAGAGGGACCCCGUCGAGUUGUUUACAGGAUUAGCCUGAUCGCGAGUCGAUGUUCUCCCCUCAGCCGGGGGUCUGAAGACGGUUUAGAGUCGGAAGCCUCGCGCUCUCUGUUGCGCUUUUCUUUUCCCCUUUAUUCUGUAUUCGAAUGAUUUUAUUCUUCUUUGGUUGCACCCAUCAUUUUUUCGGUUCCUUUACCUGUAGUACUCUUUUAAAUUGCGCCUUUUUGUGUGUAAAUUGCACCAUUUUUUGUGUGUGCAUGUUCUUUGUACAAUAAAAACAAAACAAAAAGAACUCAGCCUGGGGUUUGUUUGGAAACUGCUGCGUGUUUUGGUGCCUUUUAAUUCGUUACUGUAGAGAAACGAAUGCAUUACAUUUAUUUGACUUCCGUUUAUUAUUAAUCACAUUUACUGUCUGCCUUGGGGUCUGUCGGCUGACGUCACGCGUCUCCGCGUUCGGCGGGGUGACGUCACACCGCCGAACCUUUUAUGCCCCAUUGUGACCACAAUGUGGUAUAAAAGGUUCGGCGGGGUGACAAUAGGUUAUAAAAGGAGCUGUCAGUUUGGUUUGGGUCAUUUGUGUGUUUGUCUCUGGAGAGGAAGUUUCUCUGAGAGUGGAAAAGAGAAUAAGAGCAUGAAGAUGGACAAUCAAACAGUAAGUUCUGUUUUCUUUACUCUUUUAGUAAUUAAUAUUAAUCAUUUCUCAUGGAGAAAAAUUUGGAUAUAAUUGGCCAGAAUCUACUAGUGGAUCUGUUAUUGGUUAAAAUGAAUAAUUUUCUCUCAUGAGAUGAAAAAGAGCGAUUUAUCUGGUCACUGUGUGUGUGUGUGUUACUACUGCUAUUAUUAUUAUUAUUAUUAUUAUUAUUAUUAUUAUUAUUAUUGUUAUGUAAUUUAUAUGUACAUAAUAAUAUGCACAUAAUGUUAUUAUGUGCAAUUUAUUUUACUUGAUUUAUGGCACCAAUCUACAGUAUGUUUAUGUGUAUAGAUAAAUAUUAUAUAUAUAUAUAUCCAUCCAUCCA
ensembl:lncRNA